rnacentral:rRNA from 1 species
UACGUAGGGGGCAAGCGUUGUUCGGAAUUACUGGGCGUAAAGGGCGCGUAGGAGGCAUGGCAAGUCGGGAGUGAAAGGCCUGGGCUCAACCGAGGAACUGCUUUCGAGACUGCCAAGCUAGAGUGCGGAAGGGGCUUCUGGAAUUCCCAGUGUAGCGGUGAAAUGCCUAGAUAUUGGGAAGAACACCUGAGGCGAAGGCGGGAUGCUGGGCCGACACUGACGCUGAGGCGCGAAAGCCAGGGGAGCAAACGGG